UACGGAGGGUGCGAGCGUUGUCCGGAAUCACUGGGCGUAAAGGGCGCGUAGGCGGCCUGAUAAGCAGGGGGUGAAAUCCUGCGGCUUAACCGCAGGGCUGCCUUCUAAACUGUCAGGCUAGAGCACAGUAGAGGCAGGUGGAAUUCCCGGUGUAGCGGUGGAAUGCGUAGAGAUCGGGAAGAACAUCAGUGGCGAAGGCGGCCUGCGUGGGCUGUUGCUGACGCUGAGGCGCGACAGCGGUGGG
rnacentral:rRNA from 1 species